GAACUAUGGUAUGUGGACUUUCAACAUGCCUAAAAUUGGUUUGCAGGCACUUUGAAAGGGCUUCUUUUUGCCUGCUCUUCCAACAGCGUGCUGACAUUUUAGCAUUAGUGGCUCUGUCAGAGUGUGAAAGAAUCAACCCUUACCGUCCCCCCAUA